rnacentral:rRNA from 1 species
AUUGAACGCUGGCGGCAGGCUUAACACAUGCAAGUCGAGCGGGGGAAGGUAGCUUGCUACCGGACCUAGCGGCGGACGGGUGAGUAAUGCUUAGGAAUCUGCCUAUUAGUGGGGGACAACAUCUCGAAAGGGAUGCUAAUACCGCAUACGUCCUACGGGAGAAAGCAGGGGAUCUUCGGACCAUGCGCUAAUAGAUGAGCCUAAGUCAGCUUAGCUAGUUGGUGGGGUAAAGGCCUACCAAGGCGACGAUCUGUAGCGGGUCUGAGAGGAUGAUCCGCCACACUGGGACUGAGACACGGCCCAGACUCCUACGGGAGGCAGCAGUGGGGAAUAUUGGACAAUGGGGGGAACCCUGAUCCAGCCAUGCCGCGUGUGUGAAGAAGGCCUUAUGGUUGUAAAGCACUUUAAGCGAGGAGGAGGCUACUCUAGUUAAUACCUAGGGAUAGUGGACGUUACUCGCAGAAUAAGCACCGGCUAACUCUGUGCCAGCAGCCGCCGCAG